rnacentral:rRNA from 1 species
UACGAAGGGGGCUAGCGUUGUUCGGAAUUACUGGGCGUAAAGCGCACGUAGGCGGAUAUUUAAGUCAGGGGUGAAAUCCCAGAGCUCAACUCUGGAACUGCCUUUGAUACUGGGUAUCUUGAGUAUGGAAGAGGUUAGUGGAAUUGCGAGUGUAGAGGUGAAAUGCGUAGAUAUCAAGAGGAACACCUGAGGUGAAGACGGGUUGCUGGGCUGACACUGACGUGAGGCGCGAAAGCCAGGGGAGCAAACGGG